rnacentral:lncRNA from 1 species
AGGUCAUCAGACUGCUGAUUAUCCCGCACACCUGUCACCAUCAUCUCGUGCACCUGCGCUUCAUGACACUCAUCUGGACUCCAUCACCUCCUUGAUUAUCUUCCCUAUAUCUGUCACUCCCCUUGGUUCUUUCCUCAGCGCACUCAUUACAGGUGUUCCUCUGCAAGAUCCAUAGAAAUACAUGGUUUAAGGAUCGGUGGGUCCCUCGCAGGACGGUUGAGCUAACUGACUACCGAUGGUAGCUAUAUGCAUGGAAGGAAUAAUACGACCAGAACAGUGUGAGCUUCAAACCCCCUAACCGGCUGAAGUAAUGGCGUUCACUAUGGCCUUGUCCUGCACCACUUCUACGGAGACCUGAGUCCGAGCCAGAAACCUGUGUAUGAGCGACAGGAGAGCUGCAUGGGUCCUGAGAACGUGCAUCUGGAGUGAGCAUGGAGAGGCAUUACGUUCAAACUCCUCUCAUGCUGCUGGUGCACUGGUGGGAAAAUGGACCGGACAGAAUGGUCUGUACAGAAUGGUGGUGGCAGCUAGCUCAGAUUCAUCUAUGGAGCCAGCAUUUGGAGACUUGCAAGAUGAUGUAAUGAUUGACAGACAGCCUUGAUACUCAUAUCUCUGAAUGGAGAGAGACCUGGCACUUUAGCAUAAACAUUUUACUACACA